rnacentral:lncRNA from 1 species
GGUCCUCUGGAAUGACAUGUCUCUCUUCGGGUGCUCCCUCCCCCUCCAAAUAUUCAGGUUUGCGUGAGAGAGCGUCCGCCCUAAUGUUCUCUGGGCCUGGCACGUAACAAAUCUCAAAGUUAAAUUUGGAGAACUCCUGGGCCCAUCUCACUUGCCGUUGGUUGAGCACUCGUGCCGUCCUCCAAUACUCUAGGUUCUUGUGGUCAGUGCACACUUGCACCUUAUGUUGUGCGCCAAUUAGCAGGUGCCUCCAUCUCCGGAACGCCUCAUGAAUGGCUAGUAGUUCUCGGUCAUACACCGUGUAGUUCCUCUCGGAUUUGUUCAGCUUUCGCGAAAAAAGGCACACGGUCUCCACUCUGACUCCUCCUUCCCUGGCUGCAGAAGCACCGCCCCAAUCGCUCUGUCUGAUGCGUCAGUUUCCACUCUCAUCGGUUUUUGUAAAUCCACAUGCAGGAGUUGUUGUUCCGAGGCGAAGGCCCUUUUUAGUUCCUCAAAUGCUCGCUCCGCCUCCUCAGUCCAAACGAACUUCUUCUUACUGCUGAGACAGUUCGUAAUGGGCGCCGUCAGGUGGGCAAAGUUUCGGAUGAACUUACGAUAGAAGUUCCCAAAUCCUAGGAACCUCUGAACAUCCUUCCUUGUUUUGGGUGUUUUCCAUUCCAGCACCGCCUGGACCUUGCCGGGAUCCAUGGCCAAUCCCUUGUCUGACAGGCGAUACCCCAGGAAUUCCACCUCCUUGGUAUGAAACUGACACUUCUCCAGUUUCACCCACAGCUGGUUGGCUUGCAGCCUGCUCAACACUUCUCUGACGUCUCUCACAUGCUGCUCCUCAUUCUCAGAAUACACCAACACGUCGUCUAAGAAGGCCACACAAUUCUUGUAAAGCAAAGGCCCCAGGACGUGGUUCAUAAACGAUUGAAAGCAUGCAGAGCCUGCUUGGAGGCCGAAGGGCAUAACCAAAUAUUCAAAUGCCCCUAAAGGGGUGAACAUGGUGGUUUUCCAUUCAUCACCCUUCCUUAUUCGUAUCAGGUUGUACGCCCCCCUUAGGUCCAGCUUUGUGAAAAUCUUUCCCUUCCGCACCCUUGUCAAAAUGUCGUCAAUCCUGGGCAUAGGGAAGGCCACUGGUUCUGACACUGCAUUUAAGGCCCUGAAGUCACACACCAGCCUCGGCUUGUUCGUGUGUUUUUUCCCCACAAAAAACACUGGGCUGCCCCCCACUGCCCUGGACUCUCUGAUGAACCCUCUCUUCAGGUUCUUGUCAAUGAACUCUCUUAGCUCCUGCAUCUCUCUGUCUGACAUGGCGUACAGCUUGCCUACAGGGAGCUGUGCCCCAGGGAGUAAAUUGAUUUGACAGUCAAAGGGUCUAUGCGGGGGUAGUUGGUCAGCUUCCCUUUCGCUGAAGACGUCACGGAGAUCUGCAUAUUGUCGUGGUACCUUCACGUUCUCCGUUACUUCAGUCCCUGCUAGGGUGGCUUGGGCCCCUGCCAAACCCUUUCCCUCUUUGCAGUGUUCUAAGCAAUGUGCUGAACCAAAAGAAACCACUCUCUGAUGCCAGCCCACCAGCGGAUCAUGUAACGCUAGCCAGCUCAUCCCCAAUAUAAUGGGAGCUCCUCCCAAGGUGGCCACAUUAAACGCUAUCAGUUCGGUGUGCCUGGCUACCUUCAUUAUCAUUGGGACGGUCUGCAAGCUGACUUCUCCUCCCAACAGCUCCCUGCCAUCGAUCGUGGUCACCUGCAGGGGGUUGCUUAAGGGAUCGUCUGUAUCUGGUGUUCAGCUGCAAACUCUUUGCUCAUGAAAUUGCAGGAGCUGCCUGAGUCCAACAGCGCCUUUAUCUUUAGAGGGUGUCCGUUUGGCAGCUCUAGCGUCACUUCUAUCACUAGGGCGGGUUUAGGAGGUUCUGGCGUGGGCACUCUCACUGCUCUUUGGCCUGGCUGCUGUGCCCCGACAGUGGCAGCCAGGCGUUGGCUUUUACUUGCUCCGGUAUUUCUUCCUCUCUUCCCUCCACAGCUCCUACCAUCCCUUGCCAUUCCUUCCUCUGGGGGCAGACUCUGGCAAAGUGACCUGGCUGUUGGCAGAGAUAGCAUUUCCGGGCGCCUUUUCCCUCCUUCUUUCCCCCUCACUGGGCUUUGAAACUGCGCGCGCGCGCGCUGUUCCGAUUUCCAUCGGCUCUGCCGGCGGGAAAGUUGGCUCUGGAAUGUCUGGAAUGCGGAACUCCUUCCAACGUUCCCCUUUCCCUUCCCGCCUCUCCAAUGCUCUCGCCUCCUGGCGCGCUCCUAUGGUCAGCGCUGAUUUGGUCAGCUGGUCCAUAGACUCCGCCCUGGGCGCCCGGGAAAGUUCGUCUUUCACAGCCGAAGAAAGCCCUUCUUCAAAGAGCAUUUGAAUGGGUUCCGCCGAUAAGUCCCACCCCAAUCUGUGAACCAGCAUGGUGAACUCAGUCCAAUACUCACGGACAGAUCGGCUCCCCUGUUUGCAAGCCAUUAACUGUCUGCGCACCACUCCCUGUUCAAUAUCGCUGGAAAACAUCAGAUCCAUGGCGCGAAAGAACUUCAUCGUGUCCUUUAGGACGUCACUAUUCGCUGCCAUCAGGGGUCUAACCCAGUCUCUCGCCCCUUUUUCAAGAUGCUCAAUCACGAAAGCCACUCGUGAUUCCUCGUCAGGGAAUUCAUCAAACUGCAGAUUGAGGGCAUAUUGCAUCUCUGUCCGAAAGCCAUGAUAGUCUUUGGGCUCCCCCCCAAACUUCUGCACCAAUCCUGGUACCUUUCUGGCGAGCUGGGUGGCUUUCCCCUUUGUCUGCAUCCUGAGCCCUCCUCUCCUCAAGCCUCGCCGUCUGCAUCGCUAGCUGGACCUCCAACACCCGGUACCUUUCUUCCAGGCUUGGACCCGCUCCAGCUCCUGCUUCUCCGGUUCCGGCUGGGUUGCUCAUGAUGCCUUCUCCUGCACAAGCUGCUUUCAAAGACUGUCGGAAUGCUGUGAUGGGAUGAUGAGCUGCUUGUGCGUAAAAUCGUAUCCCCUCAGAGUUUGUUCAAGUCCACAAACCUCUGUCUGUGACGGAGCCCCUCAGACAUGGCUCCUCUAGUCACUAGCAGAUUCCGACAGUGGUUGCUUUCGGAAUCGCUUCCAACAUAAAAGCUCCUUAACGGAAACACGUCUUCUGGACUCUCUGCGUGUCAGUUUCCGGCGAGGAGUGGGUGUCCCUACAGGAGGUCCUGAAACCUCCCCACUGUUUUCGCUGGAAGUGUCUCUGAGCCAUCCCUCCAGCUCACUUUCCCUCAGCUCAGCUCCUCUCCCCCUACUGGUUCCCUCUUCAGCUGCUGAGUCUCUCCCAACCUGUGUGAGCCCUUUCACCUCCCUUCCUUCCGAUGGCAGUUCCCUGACA